rnacentral:rRNA from 1 species
CCUACGGGUUGCAGCAGCGGGGAAUAUUGCACAAUGGGCGCAAGCCUGAUGCAGCCAUGCCGCGUGUAUGAAGAAGGCCUUAGGGUUGUAAAGUACUUUCAGUUGGGAGGAAGGCGUUGAUGCUAAUAUCAUCAACGAUUGACGUUACCAACAGAAGAAGCACCGGCUAACUCCGUGCCAGCAGCCGCGGUAAUACGGAGGGUGCAAGCGUUAAUCGGAAUUACUGGGCGUAAAGCGCACGCAGGCGGUUGAUUAAGUUAGAUGUGAAAUCCCCGGGCUUAACCUGGGAAUGGCAUCUAAGACUGGUCAGCUAGAGUCUUGUAGAGGGGGGGUAGAAUUCCGUGUGUAGCAGUGAAAUGCGUGGAGAUGUGGAGGAAUACCGGUGGCGAAGGCGGCCCCCUGGACAAAGAUUGACGCUCAGGUGCGAAAGCGUGGGGAGCAAACAGGAUUAGAUACCCCAGUAGUC